CAGCCUUCCCACAGAGCAGUGCGAGAGCGGGAAGCUGGAUCUGUGACUGAGGAGAAGAGGAGGCGGAGGAAGAGGCGGAACAAGAUGGCGGCCGAGUGCGGAGAGUUGUGAGCAUUCCAGAGUUCAUCUUGGUGACGGAGUGAGUGAACGUUAGAUUUGGCCUGUUGCUGCAUCUUUUCCAGAACACAUCAGGACUUGCACAAUGGAGGAAGAGACAGCCACUGAACCUACAGUUCGUAAGCAAAGACGCCGGAGACGGAGAAAGGGUCAAGUUGAAGAUUUGAACGGCCAACAAUUCCUUAACCAAGUCACGGAGCUGCUCAACACCAAGGAAGAUGAGUUGGAUAUGCUGGGUCAGACCGUGGCCUGCAAAUUGCGAAAAAUGAGAGAAGAUCAGAGAUUGGUUGCAGAAUACCUUAUUAAUUAUACUUUGUAUUUGGGUCUCAUGAACCGCCUGGAAAACGAUGAAAAAACAAAACCUAAUUAUAAUUUUGGCGAAUAUUCUGCUUCUGGACAAGGACAUGAAAACGAGGCCCAAAAUUCUGAUUCUUCAUUUGGGAUUUUGGACAGGUCUGGUGGAUUUAAAGAGGAGACCUAAAAAUUGUUUUAAGUCCAAGGUAAAUAAAAUGAUUGAGGUUCUCAUCGGAUGUAUGUUGCCAACUUUUUAUGCUUACUUUUGUUUCAUAGCCGUAAUGUUUUUUUCUUAAAACUUUCAUGAGGAAUUGCACUCAAUGCUGACUUUUCUAAUAAAGUAUUGUGAUUUAUUUCCUGA